CCUACGGGUGGCAGCAGUGAGGAAUAUUGGUCAAUGGGCGCGAGCCUGAAGCAGCGAAGCAGCGUGAAGGAUGAAUGCCCUACGGGUUGUAAACUCCUUUUAUAAAGGAGUAAAGUGAGGCACGUGUGCCUCAUUGUAUGGACUUUACGAACAAGGAUCGGCCAACCCCGUGCCAGCAGCCGUGGUAAUCCGGAGGUGGCGGGCGUUAUCCGGAUUUAUUGGGCGUAAAGGGAGCGUAGAGGGGUUGUUAAGUCAGGUGUGAAGGUCUGCGGCUCAACCGCAAAAUUGCAAUUGAUACUGGCAGUCUUGAGUACAGGAGAGGUAAGCGGAAUUCGUGGUGUAGCAGUGAAAUGCGUAGAUAUCGCGAAGAACACCGAUUGCGAAGGCAGCUUACUAGACUGUAACUGACACUGAGGCUCGAAAGUGUGGGUAUCAAACAGGAUUAGAUACCCGAGUAGUC
rnacentral:rRNA from 1 species